UACAUACACACACACUCUCACCCUUUCUCUUUCUAUCCAUUAUUCUUCGUGUAUUUUUUUUCCAUUAUUUAAAAUGUUUUUUGUUGUUUGUUCUUUUUUUUGUCUGUUUCAUUGUAACAUUUUUUUAAUUUUUUGGUAUUUUUUCUCUGAAAAAGAAAAAGCCCAUCUCGCAGGUAACGAACGCGUUAACUGCGACCCGUGGCUUAAAAAGGUUCCGAUCUCGAUCCCCUUUUUCGCUUCUUUUUUUCUCCUUUUUUUCGUUUUUUCUUCGUUCACUCCUCCUCUGUCAUCGUUAAUUCUCCUUUUCCGCCGACGUAUCAUCGUCGUCGUAUGUUCUCGGUUUUCUCGUCUUUUUUAUUUUUUUUUCUUUUUUUUUGUCGUUAAAUAGUAAUCAUCUAAACAAUGAAAGCGGCAAAACGUCUCGAGGAAAAAGGUGUCCCUGAGCGCGACGGAGGGAGACGACGACGGCAGAAUAUUUCUUUGGGAGGGAGAAAGAAUGACGGUUCGUCGCCCUUCGUCGUCUUCGUACCUUUCACGCCCACGAUUACUUUAGUCGCACCUGCACAGGACUACGCGACACGUCCAGCUUUUACUGAUACAAAGGAUCAACUGGAAAAUACUCUCGAUGAUUACAAUCGCGGUGAUCUCUUCCGGUUCCUCUUUCUGUUCUUUCGUAUCUUGUUACUUUGUCUUCCCUUCUAUCGUUCAUUUUUGUUUCCACUUAUUUUUUUUCUUUCUCACAUCGUUUUCUGGUUCAUUCUUAUUUGCUUAUUGGUCGGAAAGAAUGUGUAUUCGCGCGCAGAGCACGCGGACGGGUCGGAUCCGUCCUGCGCAGGUAUUAGUAAAAAGAGGGACGCUCUUCUCAAAAAGUUGCAUCGUUUGUGAAAUCGCAUCAACUAAGUUCCUAUGUUCUUUAAAUCCUUAUUACAAGUACGGUAGUAAUAGUAGUAGAAGUAGUAGCAGCAGUAGUAGUAGUAGUAGUAGUAAUAGUAGUAGUAGUAGUAGUAGUAGUAGUAUUAAUAGUAGGUUUUUUCUUCACUUUUUUUUUUAUUCGUUUUUAUGUUUAAGCAUUUUUUUAUCCUUUAGUUUUUCUGGUUCUGAUAAUCUAAUAGACAUCUAAAAAUAACACCCAUUUUUUUCAUUAUUAUUUCAUAUUUGUAUUUUUCCUCCUUAUCUCGUCCUCCACUUUUUUUUUAUGUUUAUUAUUAUUAUUAUUUUUUUUUUAGUUUUUAGUA